rnacentral:rRNA from 1 species
AUUGAACGCUGGCGGCAUGCCUUACACAUGCAAGUCGAACGGCAGCACGGGAGCUUGCUCCUGGUGGCGAGUGGCGAACGGGUGAGUAAUACAUCGGAACGUACCCAGGAGUGGGGGAUAACGUAGCGAAAGUUACGCUAAUACCGCAUAUUCUGUGAGCAGGAAAGCGGGGGAUCGCAAGACCUCGCGCUCUUGGAGCGGCCGAUGUCGGAUUAGCUAGUUGGUGAGGUAAAAGCUCACCAAGGCGACGAUCCGUAGCAGGUCUGAGAGGAUGAACUGCCACACUGGGACUGAGACACGGCCCAGACUCCUACGGGAGGCAGCAGUGGGGAAUUUUGGACAAUGGGGGCAACCCUGAUCCAGCCAUGCCGCGUGAGUGAAGAAGGCCUUCGGGUUGUAAAGCUCUUUCGGCGGGGAAGAAAUGGCAACGGCUAAUAUCCGUUGUUGAUGACGGUACCCGCAUAAGAAGCACCGGCUAACUACGCGCCAGCCGCCGCGGUAACAC